rnacentral:rRNA from 1 species
GACGAACGCUGGCGGCGUGCCUAACACAUGCAAGUCGAGCGAUGAAGUUCUUCGGAACGGAUUGGCGGCGGACGGGUGAGUAACACGUGGGCAACCUGCCUUGUAGAGGGGAAUAGCCUUCCGAAAGGAAGAUUAAUACCGCAUAACAUUGUGUCUUCGCAUGAAGAUAUAAUUAAAGGAGUAAUCCGCUACAAGGUGGGCCCGCGGCGCAUUAGUUAGUUGGUGAGGUAACGGCUCACCAAGGCAACGAUGCGUAGCCGACCUGAGAGGGUGAUCGGCCACAUUGGGACUGAGACACGGCCCAGACUCCUACGGGAGGCAGCAGUGGGGAAUAUUGCACAAUGGGGGAAACCCUGAUGCAGCAACGCCGCGUGAGUGAUGACGGCCUUCGGGUUGUAAAGCUCUGUCUUCGGGGACGAUAAUGACGGUACCCGAGGAGGAAGCCACGGCUAACUACGUGCCAGCCGCCGCGGUAACAC